GAUGAACGCUGGCGGCGUGCCUAAUACAUGCAAGUCGAGCGAACAGACGCGGAGCUUGCUCCUCUGUCGUUAGCGGCGGACGGGUGAGUAACACGUGGAUCACCUACCUAUAAGACUGGGAACACUUCGGGAAACCGGCGCUAAUACCGGAUAAUAUAUUGAACCGCAUGGUUCAAUAGUGAAAGACGGUUUUGCUGUAACUUAUAGAUGGUUACGCGCCGCAUUAGCUAGUUGGUAAGGUAACGGCUUACCACGGCGACUAUGCGUAGCCGACCUGAGAGGGUGAUCGCCCACACUGGAGCUGGGACACGGUCCAGACUCCUGCGAGAGGCAGCAGUAGGGAAUCGUCCGCAAUGGGCGAAAGCCUGACGGAGCAACGCCGCGUGAGUGAUGAAGGUCUUCGGAUCGGAAAACUCUGUUAUUAGGUGAGAACAAAUGUGUAAGGAACUAUGCACGGCUUGACGGUACCGAAUCAGAAAGCCACGGCUAACUACGUG
rnacentral:rRNA from 1 species